rnacentral:rRNA from 1 species
UACGUAGGGACCGAGCGUUGUCCGGAUUCAUUGGGCGUAAAGAGCUCGUAGGCGGCUGCUCAAGUCGAAUGUGAAAACUCGAGGCUCAACCUCGAGCCUGCAUUCGAUACUGGGCGGCUAGAGUCUGGUAGGGGGAUCUGGAAUUCCUGGUGUAGCGGUGGAAUGCGCAGAUAUCAGGAGGAACACCGGCGGUGUAGACGGCUUUCUGGACCGUAGCUGACGCUGAGACACGAAAGCGUGGGUAGCAAACAGG